GAUGAACGCUGGCGGCGUGCUUGACACAUGCAAGUCGAACGGAAAGGCUCCUGCUUGCAGGGGUACUCGAGUGGCGAACGGGUGAGUAACACGUGGGUGAUCUGCCCUGCACUUCGGGAUAAGCCUGGGAAACUGGGUCUAAUACCGGAUAGGACGAUGGUUUGGAUGCCAUUGUGGAAAGUUUUUUCGGUGUGGGAUGAGCUCGCGGCCUAUCAGCUUGUUGGUGGGGUAAUGGCCUACCAAGGCGUCGACGGGUAGCCGGCCUGAGAGGGUGUACGGCCACAUUGGGACUGAGAUACGGCCCAGACUCCUACGGGAGGCAGCAGUGGGGAAUAUUGCACAAUGGGCGCAAGCCUGAUGCAGCGACGCCGCGUGGGGGAUGACGGCCUUCGGGUUGUAAACUCCUUUCGCUAGGGACGAAGCGCAAGUGACGGUACCUGGAGAAGAAGCACCGGCUAACUACGUG
rnacentral:rRNA from 1 species